rnacentral:lncRNA from 1 species
UAGGGUGGAGCCUUCCUCCCUAGAUCACUCUAUUGUUCAGCCACUGCUGCUGUUCCUCUUCAAGAUACUGCUACCUGCUGGGAGGCAAUUGAGCUAUUCUGGAGACUACGCCCUGUCCUGCAAUCCUGCACCACCUGCAACUGGUUCCAGGCUCCAAGGAUGAAUUGGUAGGAAUGCCCCCCACCCCCCUUUAUAAGCGCAUUUGCCAUUAAACAUUUGAGCUUUGAUCAGGAAAAAAUGACUUAGCUCCAUUUUUCUCUCGACUGCCUAAUUCCCCUCUCUUUCAGCUCUGCCCUGCCACUCAGGUGUACCCUGUCCUUGUGAGCUGCUGGCCGGCUCACAAUAGGUUUGUGAGAGAUUGAUAUUGACUAUUUUACUUAAAUAUUUUUAAGCAUUUUAAUUAGAAUGUUAAAGUAUACUUUCAAUUAUGUGAUACAGACUCACUCACUGAUGAUUUUGUAUUGACCUGUGAGGUAUUAGACAAAAUAUCAUCUUGUCUUUCCCUCCUAAAAGACCACAGUCUAGCCCAAAUCAGAUCAAAUAUACAAUGGAUAAAUACCUUCAAGAAUGUAAAGUGUGCACACACACACACAUACACACACACACACACACAGACACACACACACACACACACACACUGGAAUGUGUUGAGUUAUGGUCAAAAUGUGUGAUACACUCAAAAGAAAUUUUCUCUAUAUACUUUGCCUAUCCAUGAACAUGGGAGAUCUCUCCAUUUUCUGAGAGCUUCCAUUUUUUUCUUGAGAGACUCGAAAUUAUUGUCAUGCAGAUCUUUCACUUGUUUGGUUAGAGUUACACCAAGAUAUUUUAUAUUAUUUGUGGCUAUUGUGAAGGGAGUAGUUUCCCUAAUUUCUUUCUCAACCUGUUUAUCAUUUGUAUAAAGGAAAGCUAUUGAUUUAUUUGAGUUAAUUUUAUAUCUGACCACUUUGCUGAAGUUGUUCAUUAGCUGGAGAAGUUUUCUGAUAGAGUUUUUGGGGUUGCUUAUGUAUACUAUAUCAUCUGCAAAUAGUGAUAACUUUAUUUCUUCUUUGCCAAUUUGUAUCCUUUUGAUCUCUUUUUGUUCUAGCUAGCACUUAGAGUACUAUAUUGAAUAGAUUCAGGGAGAGUGGGCAUCUUUAUUUUGUCCCUGAUUUUAGUGGAAUUGCUUCAGGUAUUUCUCCACUUAAUUUGAUAUUGGCUGUUGGUUUGCUGUAUAUUCCUUUUAUUAUGUCUAGGCAUUGGCCUUGAAUUCCUGAUCUCCCCAUUACUUUUAACAUGAAGUGGUGUUGUAUUUUGUCAAAUGCCUUUUCUGCAUCUAAUGAGAUAAUCGUGUGAUUUAAUUUCUUUCUCAACCUGUUUAUCAUUUGUAUAAAGGGAAGCUACUAAUUUGAAUUAAUCACAACAGAGGAAUCUCAAAUGGCUGAGAAGCACAUAAAGAAAUGUUCAAAAUCCUUAGUGAUAAGAGAAAUGAAAAUCAAAACAACCCUGAGAUUCUACUUUACACCAAUCAAAAUGGCUAAGAUCAAAACCUCAGGUGACAAUACAUGUUAGAGAGAAUAUGGAGAAAGAGGAACACUCCUCCAUUGCUGGUGGAAUUGCAAACUGGUACAAUCACUCUGGAAAUCAAUCUGGAGGUUUCUCAAAAAAUUAGAAAUAGAUCUACCUGAAGACCCAGCAAUAUCACUCUUGGCAAUAUACACAAAAGAUGCCCCACCAUGCCACAGGGGCACGUGUUCUACUAUGUUCAUAGUAGCCUUGUUUGUAAUAACCAGAAGCUUGGAAACAACCCAGCUGUCCCACAACAGAAGAAUGAAUACAAAAAAUGUGGUUCAUUCACACAAUGGAACACUACUCAGCUAUUAGGAAUGAGGACAUUUUGAGUUUUGCAGGCAAAUGGAUGGAAAUAGAAAAUGUCAUCCUGAGUGAGGUAAUUCAGACCCCAAAGGACAUGCAUGGUAUAUAUUCACUAAUAAGUGGAUAUAAGCCAAAAAACAAAACAAAAUAAAACAAAACAAAACAAAAAUAAAACAACACAAAAAAAACG